rnacentral:rRNA from 1 species
AGAGUUUGAUCCUGGCUCAGGAUGAACGCUAGCGACAGGCUUAACACAUGCAAGUCGAGGGGCAGCACGGUGUAGCAAUACACUGGUGGCGACCGGCGCACGGGUGCGUAACGCGUAUGCAACCUACCCAUAACAGGGGGAUAACACUGAGAAAUUGGUACUAAUACCCCAUAACAUCAGGACCGGCAUCGGUUCUGGUUGAAAACUCCGGUGGUUAUGGAUGGGCAUGCGUUGUAUUAGCUGGUUGGUGAGGUAACGGCUCACCAAGGCAACGAUACAUAGGGGGACUGAGAGGUUAACCCCCCACAUUGGUACUGAGACACGGACCAAACUCCUACGGGAGGCAGCAGUGAGGAAUAUUGGUCAAUGGCCGAGAGGCUGAACCAGCCAAGUCGCGUGAAGGAAGAAGGAUCUAUGGUUUGUAAACUUCUUUUAUAGGGGAAUAAAGUGGAGGACGUGUCCUUUUUUGUAUGUACCCUAUGAAUAAGCAUCGGCUAACUCCGUGCCAGCAGCCGCGGUAAUACGGAGGAUGCGAGCGUUAUCCGGAUUUAUUGGGUUUAAAGGGUGCGUAGGUGGUGAUUUAAGUCAGCGGUGAAAGUUUGUGGCUCAACCAUAAAAUUGCCGUUGAAACUGGGUUACUUGAGUGUGUUUGAGGUAGGCGGAAUGCGUGGUGUAGCGGUGAAAUGCAUAGAUAUCACGCAGAACUCCGAUUGCGAAGGCAGCUUACUAAACCAUAACUGACACUGAAGCACGAAAGCGUGGGGAUCAAACAGGAUUAGAUACCCUGGUAGUCCACGCAGUAAACGAUGAUUACUAGGAGUUUGCGAUACAAUGUAAGCUCUACAGCGAAAGCGUUAAGUAAUCCACCUGGGGAGUACGCCGGCAACGGUGAAACUCAAAGGAAUUGACGGGGGCCC